rnacentral:sRNA from 1 species
GAUACCAGGGUCAAAAGGUCGAAAAUCCGAUGCAAGCUUGCUUGCAAGAGGAUUUUCGAUCUUGGACUCGCCAAAAACAUGAAUAAGCAGCCAUUUUUCGCAGAAAAAUGAGCGGAUUAUGAAUGUUUUUGAGGCUUGUGGGAGUGCGAAGCACGGAACAAGCCGGU